rnacentral:rRNA from 1 species
CCUACGGGAGGCAGCAGUAGGGAAUAUUGCUCAAUGGGGGAAACCCUGAAGCAGCAACGCCGCGUGGAGGAUGAAGGUUGUCGGAUUGUAAACGCCUUUUGUUAGAGAAGAGAAUGACGGUAUCUAACGAAUAAGCACCGGCUAACGCCGUGCCAGCAGCCGCGGUAAUACGGAGGGUGCAAGCGUUACUCGGAAGCACUGGGCGUAAAGAGCGCGUAGGCGGGAUAGCAAGUCAGAUGUGAAAUCCUAUGGCUUAACCCUAUAACUGCCUUUGAAACUGUUAUUCUAGAGUAUGGGAGAGGUAGGUGGAAUUCUUUGUGUAGGGGUCACAUCCGUAGAGAUCAUGAGGCAUACUCAUUGCGAAGGCGACCUGCUAGACCAUAACUGACGCUGAUGCGCGAAAGCGUGGGGCGCACACAGGAUUCGAUACCCGUGUAGUC